UCCAGAUGGUAGAAGGUAUUCUUGAUGAUAAUAAAUUGGCAGCUAGAGAAAUUUCUUGCAGUUCACUUCCAUUUAUGAUUAACUCGGAUACAAUUGCUGUAAGUUCUCAAGCUGUGCAAUCGAAGAUGGGAUUUUUCCGCUAAAUUCAUUACCACUUAGGUCCAAGUUCAUCAGGUUGCUCAGAUUUCCUAUUCCAGCAGGAAUAUUUCCGUCAAGUUGGCAAUUAGAGAUGCGUAAUUCCCAGAGACCCAUGGAGAGAUUCCCGACAACAGUUGGAAGGGAACCUUUGAAUUGAUUAUUCCCAAGUAAUAGAACCUCCAAGUUCUUGCAAUUUGUCAAAGAAGAGAGGAACUCCAAUCCACCGCUGAGUCGGUUCGACGCAAGAUUCAAAAUUUGAAGCAGCUGCAAAUUUCCAAUUGUUGUGGGCACAGGUCCACUGAAACUAUUCUGUGAUAGCUCUACAACCGUCAACAUCGAGCAAUUAGAGAGGGAAGUCGGUAUCUGUCCGGUAAAGUGAUUGACACCAAGAUGAAGUCUCUGGAGACUCGGGAGCAGAAAACCGACAUUCUCUGGAAGAUACCCCGAGAACUUAUUAUAAGUGAUAUCGAGAAUCUGCAACGAAGAUAUGUUGAAGAUUGCACUAGGUAUCUCUCCUCUCAAUCCAUAAUUCUGUCCCAAAUACAAGUAUUGCAAUCUAUGCAGGUAACCUAAUUCAUAAGGAAUCACCCCAUGAAGAUUAUUUAUUUCAAGAUCAAGGACCGUGAGUUCCGUGAGGUUACCCAAUGAGGAAGGAACCGGCCCGGUGAGCUUGUUGCUGCCGAGACCUAAGAUCUUAAGCUUUCUCAGGCUUCCGAAUUCAGCCGGUAUGUUCCCGCUGAAUUGGUUUUUGUAUAAAACAACAUCUAUUAAGUGCAUGCAAUGGCUCAAUUGCCUUGGUAUCAAUCCCCUGAACUGAUUAUCAUUUAGAUAGAGGCUUUGAAUUGACGGAAGCCAUAAGCCAUUUAUGCCUUCCGGGAUGUAUCCGGUUAGCUUGUUUGUCGCCACAGAGAGCAUUUGAAGUGAAGACAGGUUGAAGAUUGAGCUCGGUAAUGGGCCCGUAAAGCCAUUUAGGCCCAAAUUUAAGUAUUGAAGAUCAAAUAGAAGGCUGAGUUGGUGUGGAAUUUCACCUUGCAGGCUGUUUUCGGAAAUAUCUAAUAGUGUAAGCUGUGUGAGGUUGGCUAAAGAAGGCGGUAUCGAGCCGGUGAGGUUGUUACCUCUGAGAGAUAAGAAACAGAGCUUUGGGUAGUUCCCAAGAGCAGCAGGUAUGUUUCCGACCAGUCGAUUGUACAGUAACGAUACUACUUGUAGAUUCACGGAGAUUGGUUUUUCAAUCGGAACGCACCCGGAGAACGAGUUGUUUGCGAGGUCAACGUACGCAAGCGAAGAGAGAUUGAAAAUGGUAGGCGGUAUGGGUCCCGAGAGACGGUUGAACAUGAGGUCGAGCGUCCUGAGACGGCGAAGGCGACCGAGGCCAUCGGGGAUAGGGCCCGAGAGUGAGUUGUUGGAGAGGUCGAGGGCGGUGAGGAAUGAGAGGUUGGCAAUGUGGGGGGCGAUGGAGCCUUCGAGGGAGAGACUGGCAAGCGACAGGGCCGUGACUCGAUCCGGCACAUGUCGGCGGCCGCACGCGACACCGACCCAACUGCACAAGGAUGCGUUGGUGCUCCAGCUACGCGAGAGGACGUUGAAGGGAUCGGAAGUGAUGCGCGCUUUGAUGGCGAGCAAUGCGGAUAGAUCGGUAGAAUAGCUGGUCGAUGAUUUCGCAGGCCGAGGCAGUAGGACUAGAACUAGCAAUAGAAUGUAAAAGAGAGGUGGAAGCUUGGCCAUUUUUUUUCGGCUGGUGAGAGUUGCAUGGGAGCUUUCGCUGUGAAUGUAUUAAGAUGCUUCUUGGUCAACGUUUUCUACGUAAGAGUGGACCCUAAAAGAAAAGGGGUAGUAGCGGUGGGAGGUUGACUUUUAGCACGCAAUUGUUGACUUUGCUUUUGGAGUGGUCAAAAAGGAACUUUUUUGUGGGACGCUUCGCUCGGAAUCUGGUCUCUCGCGCGGAUAACCACAAAUUUCCAAUUUGUUUAUGGGACAGCAGGUCCAUUAUUAAUUUCCAACCGAGUUUCUCGUGAAAUUUAAUGCUUAGGUUCUUGUUGUUUUUCUAUUUAUAUAUUUUUGUUGAUUCAUGGAAUCUUUAGGACAGUAACUAUGAUUUGUAACAAAAAUGGAGAAUGUGGUUGGAGAGAUAAAUUUUAUGACUC